rnacentral:rRNA from 1 species
AUUGAACGCUGGCGGCAUGCCUUACACAUGCAAGUCGAACGGCAGCAUGGAGAGCUUGCUCUCUGAUGGCGAGUGGCGAACGGGUGAGUAAAGCAUCGGAACGUACCGUGUAGUGGGGGAUAACGUAGCGAAAGUUACGCUAAUACCGCAUACGCACCGAGGUGGAAAGCAGGGGAUCGUAAGACCUUGCGCUAUACGAGCGGCCGAUGUCAGAUUAGCUAGUUGGUAGGGUAAAGGCCUACCAAGGCGACGAUCUGUAGCGGGUCUGAGAGGAUGAGCCGCCACACUGGGACUGAGACACGGCCCAGACUCCUACGGGAGGCAGCAGUGGGGAAUUUUGGACAAUGGGGGCAACCCUGAUCCAGCCAUGCCGCGUGAGUGAAGAAGGCCUUCGGGUUGUAAAGCUCUUUCGGCCGGGAAGAAAUCGCACAGGCUAAUACCCUGUGUGGAUGACGGUACCGGCAUAAGAAGCACCGGCUAACUACGUGCCAGCCGCCGCAGUAA